UAGUAGCUGGUUCCCUCCGAA
rnacentral:ncRNA from 2 species